CGGACGGGUGAGUAACGCGUGGGUAACCUGCCUUAUACAGGGGGAUAACAGUCAGAAAUGGCUGCUAAUACCGCAUAAGCGCACAGAGCUACAUGGCUCAGUGUGAAAAACUCCGGUGGUAUAAGAUGGACCCGCGUUGGAUUAGCUUGUUGGUGGGGUAACGGCCCACCAAGGCGACGAUCCAUAGCCGGCCUGAGAGGGUGACCGGCCACAUUGGGACUGAGACACGGCCCAA
rnacentral:rRNA from 1 species